AUGCAGUCGACGACCUUCGGGUUAGUGGCGGACGGGUGAGUAACGCGUGAGAAUCUGCCCUCAGGAGGGGGAUAACAGUUGGAAACGACUGCUAAUACCCCAUAUGCCGAGAGGUGAAACGAAUUUUGCCUGGGGAUGAGCUCGCGUCUGAUUAGCUUGUUGGUGGGGUAAAAGCCUACCAAGGCUUCGAUCAGUAGCUGGUCUGAGAGGACGAUCAGCCACACUGGGACUGAGAUACGGCCCAGACUCCUACGGGAGGCAGCAGUGGGGAAUUUUCCGCAAUGGGCGCAAGCCUGACGGAGCAACGCCGCGUGAGGGAUGAAGGCCUUUGGGCUGUAAACCUCUUUUCUCAAGGAAGAAGAUCUGACGGUACUUGAGGAAUAAGCCACGGCUAAUUCCGUGCCAGCAGCCGCGGUAAUACGGGAGUGGCAAGCGUUAUCCGGAAUUAUUGGGCGUAAAGCGUCCGCAGGCGGCCGUUUAAGUCUGUUGUUAAAUCGUGGAGCUCAACUCCAUCACGGCAAUGGAAACUGUUCGGCUUGAGUAUGGUAGGGGCAGAGGGAAUUUCCGGUGUAGCGGUGAAAUGCGUAGAUAUCGGGAAGAACACCAGUGGCAAAAGCGCUCUGCUGGGCCAUUACUGACGCUCAUGGACGAAAGCCAGGGGAGCGAAAGGGAUUAGAUACCCCUGUAGUCCUGGCCGUAAACGAUGAACACUAGAUGUUGGGGGAAUCGACCCCUCCGGUGUCGUAGCUAACGCGUUAAGUGUCCGCCUGGGGAGUACGCACGCAAGUGUGAAACUCAAAGGAAUUGACGGGGGCGCACAGCGGUGAGUAUGUGUUAUCGAUGCA
rnacentral:rRNA from 1 species